UAUGUGAUCGUCUCUCGCAUAUCAAUAAGCGGAGGAAAAGAAACUAACAAGGAUUCCCCUAGUAACGGCGAGUGAAGCGGGAAGAGCUCAAAUUUGAAAUCUUAAAGGGUUUCCCUUUACGAAUUGUAGUUUAAAGAAGUGUUUUCUGUUGAGGUUUUGGUAAAAGUUCUUUGGAAUAGGACAUCAUAGAGGGUGAGAAUCCCGUAUUUGACCUUUACUUUCAACUUUGUGAUACACUUUCAAAGAGUCGGAUUGUUUGGGAAUGCGGUCCAAAAUGGGUGGUAAAUUUCAUCUAAAGCUAAAUAUUGGCGAGAGACCGAUAGCGAACAAGUACCGUGAGGGAAAGAUGAAAAGAACUUUGAAAAGAGAGUUAAACAGUACGUGAAAUUGUCAAAAGGGGAAGCGUUUGACACCAGUGUUGUUUUUCUGAAAAUCAAUUAAAGAACUGUUUAUGCUAAGCUGUUUAGACUUUAUCAGCUAACUGUUUAGUUUUGAGCUUUUCUUUAAUGCACUUUUCAGUUAACAAGUCAACAUCAAUUUCUUUUGCUGUAAAAAAGCUUGAGGAAGGUGGCUUGAGAUUCGUCUUAAGUGUUUAUAGCCUCUUGCCUAUGCAGUCGGAGAGAUUGAGGUCUGCAGCGUAGAUCCUUCGGGGCUAAAUGCAUUUGUGCUAAGUUAUAGCAUUUUAUAGACAACUUGUUGACUAUGAUUUGUCUUGUAGCUUACUCGCUUAUGUUAUUUUACCUACGCUUAGGAUGUUGAUCUACAGAGCGAGAGU
rnacentral:rRNA from 1 species